GAUGAACGCUGGCGGCGUGCCUAAUACAUGCAAGUCGAACGAGGUGCUUUUUGUAGCAAUACGAGGAGUAUCCUAGUGGCGAACGGGUGAGUAACGCGUGGGUGACCUACCCCAAAGUGUGGAAUAACAGUCCGAAAGGAUUGCUAAUGCCGCAUGUGGUCUGCGAGUUUAGAAAUCGUUGACUAAAGGAGCAAUUCGCUUUGGGAGGGACCUGCGUCCCAUCAGCUAGUUGGUGAGGUAACGGCUCACCAAGGCUACGACGGGUAGGGGACCUGAGAGGGUGGCCCCCCACAAUGGAACUGAAACACGGUCCAUACACCUACGGGUGGCAGCAGUAGGGAAUAUUGCACAAUGGGCGAAAGCCUGAUGCAGCAACGCCGCGUGUGCGAUGAAGGCCCUCGGGUCGUAAAGCACUUUUCUGAGAGAUGAGCAAGGACAGUAUCUCAAGAAUAAGUCUCGGCUAAACUACGUGCCAGCAGCCGCGGU
rnacentral:rRNA from 1 species